CCCUUAGAUGUUCUGGGCUGCACGCGCGCUACACUGAAGCUAUCAACACGUUUUCCCUCCCUGAGAAGGGCGGGUAACCUUUUGAAUCAGCUUCGUGGUAGGGAUCGGGGCUUGCAAUUGUUCCCCGUGAACCAGGAAUUCCUAGUAGACGCGAGUCAUAAGCUCGCAUCGAUUAAGUCCCUGCCCUUUGUACACACCGCCCGUCGCUACUACCGAUUGAACGUUUUAGUGAGGCAUUUGGACCGACGCAUCUCAGUUUAACCGCUGGUUUGUGUUGGAAAGACUUCCAAACUUGAGCGUUUAGCGGAAGUAAAAGUCGUAACA
rnacentral:rRNA from 1 species